rnacentral:lncRNA from 1 species
ACUACCUUGGAAGCAAUCCAGUCCCUCCUUGCAGAUCUUCAUCCCCUGAUGUAGGACCAGUUCCUCUUUUGUUCCUUCAGCCCUAGGGCUUCGUGUGUGGAGGAACUGUGGUCAGCCAACUUCCUGUUCCUGCCCCCAUGCUUCCCCUGCCUGUUGCUGUGCCUGCUCUAUCAUGAUGAACUCUAUCUCUCUGGAAUGGGAUUGAUGCCAUAGGCACACACCACCACUCCAAACUUCUGGAAAAAAAAAAACAGAAACAAAAUAAAAUAAGAUCCAUGAGAUGGCUUGACACCAUGCCAGCUACUAGGAACAGCUACAAGAACAGCCGGUUCAGGCUUGAUUCCCAGCAACCACAUAGCAGCACACAACUGUCUAUAAUUACAAUUCCAAGGAACUUGAUACCAUCUUCUGGUCUCCAUGGACACUUGGCAUGUAUGUGGCUCACUGAUGUGGAUUAAGUCCUUGGCUCUACUCUGAGAACAGCCAUAAAAGUUCUUGGCUGCUUCAAGAAACAAUAUCAAUGACCUCUCAUUACCUUCUGCAUUAAACACAAGCCAAUGUUGACUGCAUAGAGACCUAAUAGAAGCCAGAAGUAUCUGGCUUAUUAUAUGCUACUAAAUAUAUUUUCAGCUUCUGCUCACCUGACUCUGCAUUCUGGGGAUUCUGAACUUGAUUUACAUGAAGAGAAAUAACCCUGCUCAAAAAGAAACCCACGUUGCUGGCUUUGAAAGUUCAAGUGAACAUUGUUAUGAAAAACGGGAUUUCUUCUGAGCUAAAAAAAUGCUUCUUUAAAGUGAAGCCAUCAAAUGCAUUUUGUGACCUGAGACAUUUCUAAGAAUAAGUAGAUGUCAUAAAUUUGCAGAUUUGAUCAUUUUGCAGCAUAUUCAUGUCGUGCGAUUGGGAAGAACAGCUGCCUCCCUCAGAAUAUCUACUAUAUGCAAGCUCUUUGCUUCUUCCUGUUCUCUCAGCCAUAUGAGGAGAAACGGAGUGGUUCUUACAUUCUUCAGAUAAAGAACUGAGUGUUACAAAGCUUGAACCGCCCAUGUACCAUGUCACAGGACAGCAGCAGGGCCACUCAGGCGACACUGGGGUUGUAGUAAUUAUAUCAAAAAUACAAAGCAAUUGAUCACAGAGGAUUUUAGAAGCCUUUGUCUCAAAAACCAACACAUUUACCUCUCUAACUGAAGUGGGUAUAAAAAGCGAGGUCUUGUACCUGGUAACUCCAGACACAUUGGAUUUGACAAAAGGAGUCAUUUGCUACAUGUGGGCAUGUCUGAUUCAUAACUGCUGUAUGCAGCUCUGAGUUGUUAGAAGUCAUGGCUGUUUAAAUAUUGAGAACCCUACCUGCUAUCCUGUUCUCUUAAAAGAAUAUCUAGAACAGGAACUUUGGGGAAGCAGAGCUUAAGAGAAGAUGGAAACUGACUCAUAGGAGCUGAGACUUAAAGUGAAUUUCUUUUCUGAAGGUAAAAAACAUUCAUUUAAGCUUAUAGGUAGGCCCAGAAAUUGCCAACUUCAGUUUCCGGGCAACAUUUGUCUUCCUCAUUGCCUCAACCUCCUCCAUAGGUAGCACUCAUCUCCUUAGAGCUGUGAGUAACAUUUCAGUCUUUCAUCAAUAACAAGUUGAAUCAAAGUUAUCGAAAACAUGAAGAAGCAGCAUAUAAAAAGAAAUCUUCCUUUGCUGGUCUUCUCAUGUGAAAUCUCGUGUUCUCUUCCCUUGUACCUGCCAAGAGAUGUUUACUCUACCCGAAAUGCUUCAGAGGUCCUAAGUGAUUGCCAUUCUGGAAGGAGACAUGAAGAAACUACUGUUCAUGACCAUUUUCAUUAGCACAUUCUUCUUGGGAGAUAGUAUUCUGUAGUCUGCAGUCUGAUUUUUCUCCAGUCUCAGCAGCCUCGUGGCACGGGGCCACUGUAAACUGGAAUGCCUCUCUGUUUUCUCAACCUUGGUGAGAGUUGAUGUGUUUAAUUGUUCUUGCAUUGCUUAAAGCAUGGCCAAAUCCAUUGGCAUUUGACACAAGGCUGCCUGUUCUGCCACGUGCUUGCAGAGCAGUGAUCUCAUGAAAAAUUUCUUCUAACCUGUGUAGGACUCUUAGCUGAGUGCUGUUGAUUCCUAAGGGAUGAUAUCACAACUGCCUUGGCAAAGCAAGAAUGAGAAGCUGGACAAAGGGCAUUUCAGCGACACAAGCAAUCACUUGGCGCAAACUAACUUAGAAUCUCAGAGAGUGAGCAGAGGGGUAGCAGUCUGUGAUUUAUUUCCAUGACCUGUAUGCUGCAGAAACUGAACACCUUUUAGAAACGGAAGAGGGAUGUAUUCAUUAAAGUCCCUAUGGUGCCUCAUUCAUGACCUAGACAAUGCCUUUUCUGGCCUCUUCCUCUGCAAAGGGCUAGUCAUAAUGGGUUCUGUAAUACUCACAACACCCUAGGUCCCAUUGUGACUCCCAAUUCCCUCGUUACAGAACCAAGUAUAGUCCAUGUUCAUUGGCACUUUUCUAGAUUAUAUGCAUACUGUUGCAUGUGGGACCCUGCUCAUUGUCAUUGUUUGCACAGUAGACACUUAACUAUUGGCAGACUCAUGGCAAACCCUUACUAAGGGAUUCUGUACAUUCUAACCUAGAGGGUCAUCAGGAACCAAUAGUCCUUUCUCCAUUCUAAUCUGGCAAUGCCAAUCCCAGUUUCUUUCUGUUUUACCUCAUGUAGUUUCCUGCAAAGAGUCACCAUACCAUUCAUAGCCCAGGGACUAAUGUCUUUCCUUUAAUUCUCUUUCAGAACUCUAUUUGCUCAACAUGGGCUAACAUUGUACUCUAUAAUAUUAAACUAUUGUGAAACUCUUC